rnacentral:pre_miRNA from 1 species
AUCACCAGGAGACCUUGUUAAAAGGCAGAUUCUGAUUUAGUAUCUGGGGUGGGGCUGAGAUUGUGCAUUUCUAAUAAAUUCUCCGGUGAUGCUAU